AUACUUACCUGGCAGGGGAGAUACCAUGAUCACGAAAGUGGUUUUCCCAGGGCGAGGCUUAUCCAUUGCACUCCAGAUGUGCUGACCUCUGCGAUUUCCCCAAAUAUGGGAAACUAGACUGCAUAAUUUGUGGUAGGGGAGGACUGUGUUUGCACUUUCCCCUG
rnacentral:snRNA from 1 species